UACAGAGGGUGCAAGCGUUAAUCGGAAUUACUGGGCGUAAAGCGUGCGUAGACGGUUACAUAAGUCAGAUGUGAAAGCCCCGGGCUCAACCUGGGAAUUGCAUUUGAGACUGCGUAGCUAGGGUGCGGAAGAGGGAAGCGGAAUUUCCGGGUGUAGCGGUGAAAUGCGUAGAUAUCGGAAGGAACACCAGUGGCGAAAGCGGCUUCCUGGUCCAGCACCGACGUCAGGCACGAAAGCGUGGGGAGCAAACAGG
rnacentral:rRNA from 1 species